CAGAGCCCGGAAUAAUGCAAGAGAAUUAAACCCUCUAAACGGAGGUUCAACUCCUUCCCCUAACU
rnacentral:tRNA from 1 species